GAUGAACGCUGGCGGCGUGCCUAAUACAUGCGAGUAGAACGCUGAAGGAGGAGCUUGCUCUUCUGGAUGAGUUGCGAACGGGCGAGUAACGCGUAGGUAACCUGCCUGGUAGCGGGGGAUAACUAUUGGAAACGAUAGCUAAUACCGCAUGACAACAGUUAUUGCAUGAUAACUGUUUAAAAGGGGCAACUGCUCCACUACCAGAUGGACCUGCGUUGUAUUAGCUAGUUGGUGAGGUAGCGGCUCACCAAGGCGACGAUACAUAGCCGACCUGAGAGGGUGAUCGGCCACACUGGGACUGAGACACGGCCCAGACUCCUACGGGAGGCAGCAGUAGGGAGUCUUCGGCAAUGGACGGAAGUCUGACCGAGCAACGCCGCGUGAGUGAAGAAGGUUUUCGGAUCGUAAAGCUCUGUUGUAAGAGAAGAACGAGUGUGAGAGUGGAAAGUUCACACUGUGACGGUAUCUUACCAGAAAGGGACGGCUAACUACGUG
rnacentral:rRNA from 1 species